UGAGGAAUAUUGGGCAAUGCCCGCAAGGGUGACCCAGCAACGCCGCGUGGAGGAUGAAGGUCGUAAGAUUGUAAACUCCUGUUAGAAGGGAAGAAAAACCGGGUUUGAAGCCCGGCAUGACUGUACCUUCAGAGAAAGCCCCGGCUAACUACGUGCCAGCAGCCGCGGUAAUACGUAGGGGGCAAGCGUUGUCCGGAUUUACUGGGUGUAAAGGGCGCGUAGGCGGGCUCGUAAGUCAGAGGUGAAAUCCUGCAGCUUAACUGCAGAACUGCCUUUGAUACUGCGAGUCUUGAGUUCAGAAGAGAGAGAUGGAAUUCCAGGUGUAGUGGUGAAAUACGUAGAUAUCUGGAAGAACACCAGUUGCGAAGGCGAUCUCUUGGUCUGACACUGACGCUGAGGCGCGAAAGCGUGGGGAGCAAACA
rnacentral:rRNA from 1 species